AGAUUGUGACUUUCUGAGGACCUGCUUGGUUCUGAGUUUUCUUCUCCUUUUCAAGUAGUCUGGAGAUUAUGGUUUCACAUUAGGUUUCACAAAGGCUGAAAAAUUUGCCUCAUACUUCCCUCAAAGCCAAACAGUUGCUUCAAACUUCAUCUACAAAUAGAGGAUUUGUACCUCAAUUGAUGGAAUAUUGGUAAUUCUUCUACUCCAUUUGAAGAUGAAAAAUAAAGGCCAAAAUCAUAGGCCUGGCACAGAAGCUGGAUAAUGAAGACAGCUCCGGAGGAACACAUAGAUACACACACAUAUAGACACACACAUAUAUAAAGUACACAGACAUAUUAUUUUUAAAGUUUAUUUUUUAAAGUUUUAAAGUUUCUAAAAUGAAAGCUGGCCCUGCCUCUCUCCCAGAGUGAGCGGAGACAGCGGUUGCAUGAGCAGCUUUCCUUGUGAGGCCACAGGUCCCUCUGGACACGCUGCUGCCUGACCAUGCCUCCUUUCCCUUU
rnacentral:lncRNA from 10 species